AUUCUACUCCCUCUGUUGCACAAUACAUGCCUUCUAUUUGUCAAAAUAUAUAUGUAUCUAGACAUGUUUUAGUAUAUAGGCACAUCCAUUUUUGGACAAAUGGUAGUCAAGAAUUUUGGAACAGAGGGAAUACACA
rnacentral:pre_miRNA from 1 species